GUAAUAUUAUUCAUAAUUCUUCGAACUUUUCUUCAUGAAUAUUAUCAUGAUAAAAACCAGUAUGAUAUUUUUGUACACAAAAUUAUGCAACUAAAAUGCUGAAAACCGUUUUCCGUCGGGGGGCCCUGAACCCCCUACUAAGGCUCAGCCCUGGAGCUGCAGGGGGGGCCUCGAGCGGCCCCCAGACCCACUGCCGAUUUGUGCCUACAGUUGAUAUGAAACCUAGCUACGCCCCUACAUGAUAUCUCUGGAGAUUUAUGCAAAUUUAAGUUUAUGGUAUUUAUUCGUAAAAUUUCUUAUUAUUCGUCCAUCGAAGACAAUUAUAUGAAAUUUGAAGAAAACAGAAGAUGUUUUUUAAACAUUCUGAUACCUGAUGAAAGUAAAUCCAGAAAAUCUCUUCGGACGGAUGCAAUUUAUAAAGAGUCGUUUUCAUUUUUUUGGCAUUGAGGGGCAGUUAUUUGCAAGAUUUUAUGGAAGUAAAAAAAUUGAAAACAGAGGUUUUCACUUGGUCAUUCCUCAGC
rnacentral:lncRNA from 1 species